rnacentral:lncRNA from 1 species
AUGAUGGUGAUGGUGAUGGUGAUGGUGAUGGUGAUGAUUAUGUUGAUAGUGAUGGUGGUGGUGAUGGUGAUGGUGAUGGUGAUGGUGAAAAUUAUGCUGAUAAAAUUAAAAAAAAUCGAUAUAGAAUAUGUAAAGAAAUUUUUAAAUACUUUGAAUAUAAAAAUGACCUUAAGUAAAGCAUUGACUAUUUUUACAAUUUUUAAAGAUGCUUUAGAUUUUUACACUGUUGAUUCGGUAGAUGAUAAUUUAUUUACGAAAGAUAAUAAUAAAGAUAAUAACAAAAAAAAGAAAAAUAAAAUUAAAAAAAAAAAAAUAAAAUUUGUGAUGAAUGUUGACACUUCUCUAUUUGUUAUCUUUAAUGUAUUAAAUAACAUUGACACGAUAUUCUAUAAUCUUACAAAUGAAGGGAGUUUAAAAAUAAAAAUAUUUAUUUUUUUUUUAUUUAUAAUAAUUCAAAAUAUAUUUCUCUUAUUGAAUAAAGAAAAAAAAAAUAUAUUUGAUAAAUUAUCAAUCCCACAAAAUUCCGUUACCAAAAACAAUUUCGAUAAUACCAGUAACAUUGUAAGUAGUAGUGCCAAAAAAAUGAAGGAAGAUGACAGUAAUAAAAAAAUAAUAUUAAUGGAACAAUUAAUAUUAAUGUAUUAUGGAAAAAUCUUAAAGCCCUAUUUAUUUAACUAUGGAUUAAAAGGUUAUAAUAUGUACAAUUAUAGUCAUAUUACUUUUAAAGAAAAUUGUUUGAUCGAGUUAUUUAAGUACUUAUCUGAUGACGUUGCAUAUGUUCUGAUUUUUAGAUAUAUGCAAAUACUUAUAUUUAAACUUAGGGAUCAUGUUAAAGAAGUUGGAAAAUUAAAUAAAAUACAAGAUGAACAAAGUAAUAAAAAGAGCAAAAAAAAAAAAUAAAAUAAACACUAACGAUUUAGACAAUCUUGAUGAUAAUUCUAUUACUAAAAAUGGUAAUACCCAUUUUAAUAAUAAUAAUAAUAAUAAUAAUAAUAAUAAAAAGAGUGAAAAAUUUGAUAUGAAAAACA